CGUUCCAUAACGUGACUAAUGCAUGAACAUUGCCUAUCUAUGUUUCAUUUGCCAUAUCCCCUUUUCAGCAACAACAUUUGGUGUCAGGAAUGGGAUACCUUCGUGACCCAUCGUGUGGCCAGCGAACUUAGCAGUCUAAGUUGGGUUCUUUUGAAGACCCUGACCUGGAAUUAUAUGCUGACUUCGGUUCUUUGCGGAAAUAGGACCCACUCUCAGGGUCUUACGACUGGCCACUAUUCGAUAUGCCAAGGACGCAGCCUGGAAGACUAGCGUGCCUUCAGGGUGCCGGAGUUUCGUGGCUCUGGAAGCAGGUGGACUCAAGGCCAGUGCCGCCUCCUGGUGCAUUGUAGGAGACGGAAGAUUGUAAGCAGCGAGCUGACUGCUGGCUGUGUGCCCAGAAACCCGAGUUCUUUGGGCACAGAUCAGAAAAAAUGACACAACAGACUUUUAACACCAUAAAUCAGCACAUUGUUUGUUAUGUCUCCCCUCUUGCUGUGAAACAGAGACACCUCUUUUUCCCUUAUUAGAGAGAGAGACUAUGUACUCAAGAACUUCAACAAUGUCACUCGAAGAAGACAUUGAAGAUAACCACUGUCGUAUGCUUCAGAGGAGAGGUGUUGCACAGGUCUGCUCAAGUAGAGAUAUUGGGGAUAUGUACCCAAUGAAGAUAACAUAGAUGCAGCUCACUUGGGAGGGCACUGUGUGCUAAUUCUACUCCAAAGGACUCAGAUGAAGUCUACAAUAUACCAAACAUGAAAGGGCAUGUACAGAAACCAGCCUUCAACUUUCUGCUCGAAUUCCAAUACAAGUGAAAGAGAGAACUGGUUCAGGAUGGUGCAGGGGUAUAUCCCAUACAGCAACUAACUUAGAGAGGGUGAAAUCAUUUUUGAUAGAUGGGAAUGGUUGAGUUCAGGUAAAGAAUGUACAACUUGCGUGUUGUUAUGCCACUCUGUUCCAUGUAGAGACUUGAGAAGGUUAUGAAAUGCACACAGCUGGCAAGUGAGUACAAAAUAAAUGUGUUUUCCUUUGUACAGCGAAUCUCUUAACUACAACUGUGAAUUGAUAACUUUGUCUGAUAAAAGAAUUAGAUACUCUGGUUACCUUGACAGCCAAAUUAUGCUGGUUUUUCCCUGCUUUAUGACAGAGCAAUUGACAAAUUUAAUUUGCAAUCUCUUUUGAGAAACAAAACUAGUCCUGUGUGAUGGUUCCAAAUGAGGUUCAGAAACAAGAACUGCUGCCUGAAGAUUCAAGAUGGAUUUCUGCUUCUGCAGACGGUCCUUAUCUCCUUCCGGGCUUAGAGGAACAAUAGCUCAUAAUCUAUCAGGGCAGUUUACAGACCAAGCCGUAUGACUAACUUUGGGCAACUGCCCCUCUCCUCCCACCCCCUAUCCUUUUUCCCUCCUCUUGAUCUACCUGGCCCACAUCACCAUGUCUCUUUUCCCUCCUCCAUACUUUCCAACUGCUAAUCACCUUCACACUCCUCCCACUGGUCCUUUUCCCCACUAUUCCCCUCUGCCCUCCCCUCCAUUUAUUCCACGUUCCACCUUCCUCUUCUAUCAGAUUUUGUCAUCUUAAGUCUUUCUUCCCUUCACCUAUCUUCUCCAACCUUCUUGCCAUUCUUCCCACACCCAUCUGCCUCACAACCGCAAAUCCCACCUUCACCUGGAUCCAACUAUCUCCCAUCAACUCUUUCGCCACCCCUUCCCUCCACUCUUUUUAUACUGACUAUAUCCCCUCUACCUAUAGUUUAGGUGAAACGUCUCAACUGGAAAUGCCAACAAUCCAUUUUUCUUCAUGGAUGCUGCCUAACCCUCUGAGUUCACCGGCAUCUCAUGUGUAGUCCUAUUUAUAUGGGUUCCCUUCCUCCUGGUCACAUUUAGUGUGAGCAGAUAGGCUGAUCUCUGCAAGCAACUGAUUUCAGCUAAAUAAUUAUUUUAAGGCAAUGAUUAUUCUGCAAGUGAAGUCAGAGCACUUCCUGCAGAACAAUGAAAAUUUAGCCAGCAGAAACACAGCAGGAGAUCUAAGAGAGCAAAUGCUGGAAGUAUGCAGCAAGAAACAAGGGACAAUGUCGGAAAUACAUAGCUGAAAAAUUGCAAGUGAGAUUCCAUAAAUCUCUCAGAGUCAAUGCCCAGACUAACCAAGAACAUAUCAACCUCCGCUUUAUGACUUGGCCUUCACAGCUGUCUGUGGCAAUGAAUGAAUUCCAGAGAUUCACUACCCUCUGGAUAAAGAAAUUCCUCUGCAUCUCUGGAUGUCCUUCUAUUCUAAGGCUAUGCCCUCUGGUCCUAGAAUCCCCCAUUAUAUCAAACAUCCCCUCCAAUUCCCUUGGCUUUUCAAUAUUUGAUAGUUUCAAUAAGAUUCCAGUGUCUUUGCCCUUAGGCUUACCCAGCAGUCGUAUUAUUAACGUACAUCAGAAAAAAACGUUUUAACAUCCUGACUUUUUGUACAAGGAAGAACAUUUUACUUUGUUGGAUAUCCGAUAAGGCCCCUGGACUUUUUGGUUGGCGUAAAUUAAUCAUGGAAUAUAUUCUUUUGGACUUUUUGACAUGCAUGGUACACUCAAAAACAAAUAGUUUUCAUAAAACAUGGCAACCUUUUCUGCAAUAUGUAGAUGUAAACCUGUCUGCUACACUAAUAAGGGCUUUUGUAUGGGAUGUGGUGGUGUUGUCUAUACUUUGAUGGAAGUAUUCUGAUAGCUGAUAUCUGUGAGGGGAAGAAAUGUAAAUGUAAAUAUAUCUGGAAAUUGAAAGUUUCAUUAU